rnacentral:misc_RNA from 1 species
UUUCCGUAGGUGAACCUGCGGAAGGAUCAUUCAUAAUAAGUGUUCUAUGGCACUUUUUUAAAUCCAUAUCCACCUUGUGUGCAAUGUCAGGGUUGAUUUUUCUUUCGAGAGGAUCAGCCCCAAACAUCAACUAUAUCUCAACUCUUUGUCUGAAAAAUAUUAUGAAUAAAACAAUUCAAAAUACAACUUUCAACAACGGAUCUCUUGGCUCUC